CAUGUCAUUAUUAAUGUUAUUCAUGUCAUUAUUAAUAGGUUUUACAUAAUAUCAUUAUUAUUUGUACAACUUGUAUUUUGAAUAUUGAUUUUGCUUGUAUUUAUGUGAUAGGAACUAUCUGUACAUUCUAUGUUGUGUUGGGACGCUUUUAGUGGUGACAAGUUCCAGACAUCGCGGUAAAGUAGCGGCGGUAAAGUUUAGUACUCUGAAAGAUAAGUUAAAUUAACGACGUGUUUAUUUACAAGUAUUCUUGUUUCUAAGUGGACCCAUUUCCCUCUCAGUUGUGUGCAGCCAGCGAGUUCGACGGUGGAUUGAUGACGGUGGAGAAUUUAGUAGAAGAAUAAAUCCAUCAGUAACCAGAA